rnacentral:rRNA from 1 species
AUUGAACGCUGGCGGCAUGCUUUACACAUGCAAGUCGAACGGCAACAGGCCGCAAGGUGCUGACGAGUGGCGAACGGGUGAGUAAUGCAUCGGAACGUGCCAGUCGUGGGGGAUAAAUGCUCGAAAGAGCAGCUAAUACCGCAUACGAUCUAUGGAUGAAAGCGGGGGACCGUAAGGCCUCGCGCGAUUGGAGCGGCCGAUGUCAGAUUAGGUAGUUGGUGGGGUAAAGGCUCACCAAGGCAACGAGCUGUAGCUGGUCUGAGAGGACGACCGACCGAACUGGGACUGAGACACGGCCCAGACUCCUACGGUAGGCAGCAGUGGGAAAUUUUGGAGAAUGGGCGAAAGCCUGAUCCAGCCAUGCCGCAUGCCUGAAGAAGGCCUUCUGGUUGUAAAGGACUUUUGUCAUGUAGCAAAACUUACUGUUUAAUACCCGGUGAGGCUGAGAGUACCUGAAGAAUAAGCACCGGCUAACUACGUGCCAGCCGCCGCGGUAAAAC